rnacentral:lncRNA from 1 species
UUUUUCACAUUUUACCCAAAAUUCCCAUUUUCAGAUUUUUACCCCAAAUUCCCAUUUUUCACAUUUUGCCCAAAAUUCCCAUUUCCACAUUUUGCCCCAAAUUCCCAUUUCUGCAUUUUUGCCCCAAAUUCCCAUUUUUUGCAUUUUUGCCCCAAAUUCCCAUUUUUGGAUUUUUGCCCCAAAUUCCCAUUUUUGCCCCAAAUUCCCAUUUUUGCCCCAAAAUCCCAUUUAUUGGAUUUUUGCCCCAAAUUCCCGUUUUUGCCCCAAAUUCCCAUUUUUCACAUUUUGCCCCAAAAUUCCCAUUUUGCCCAAAAUUCCCAUUUUUGCAUUUUACCCAAAAUUUCCAUUUUCGGAUUUUUGCCCCAAAUUCCCAUUUUUCACAUUUUGCCCCAAAUUCCCAUUUCCGCAUUUUUGCCCCAAAUUCCCAUUUUUUGUAUUUUUGCCCCAAAUUCCCAUUUUUCACAUUUUGCCCCAGAAUUCCCAUUUUUUUUGCAUUUUUGCCCCAAAUUCCCAUUUUUGCCCCAAAUUCCCAUUUUCACAUUUUGCCCCAAAUUCCCAUUUUCACUUUUUUGCCCCAAAUUCCCAUUUUUUGCCCCAAAUUCCCAUUUUUUUGCAGUUUUGCCCCAAAUUCCCAUUUUUCACAUUUCGCCCCAAAUUCCCAUUUCCGCAUUUUUGCCCCAAAUUCCCAUUUUUGCCCCAAAAUCCCAUUUCCCCAUUUUUGCCCCAAAUUCCCAUUUUUGCCCCAAAUUCCCAUUUUUGCCCCAAAAUUCCCAUUUUUGCCCCAAAUUCCCAUUUUUGCCCCAUUUUUGGAUUUCCCCGGCGCUGACCGGGGUUGAAGAGGAUGAUGGCCCGGAGGCAGCCGAGCUCCGUCUUGUCCAUCCUCAUGUCCCUCAUCUUGGACACCAGCUCUGUCAGAACCCUGAAAAAUCCAAAAUUUACCAAAAUUUACCAAAAUUCAUCAAAUUCCAGAAAUUCCCAACAUUCCCCAAAAAUUCCCAACAAAAAUUCAC